GAAAAUAAAGGAAAAAGAGGUGUUUGACAAGUCAGUAUCUUCCAGAAACUUCGUACAUACUUCCUGUUUGUAGUCGGCCUGUCUCCUUGGAUUUUCACUUGCCUUCUUUUUUCCUUUUUCUGUCAUCAAGUUGAAAUGAUUUC
rnacentral:ribozyme from 1 species